rnacentral:tRNA from 2 species
GGAGGCUUAGCUCAGCUGGUUAGAGUACCUGCUUGACGUGCAGGGGGUCAUUGGUUCGAUUCCAAUAGUCUCCACCA